ACAAAUUUUCUCAACGUCACAACCAGCGUCACAGUCAGCGACGUACACUCCGUCGUAAGCACGUAAACAGAACUGAUGCAAAUGUACCUAAAAUUUUUGUCAUUCAUUUUUGGAAUUCGCUCGCUCGGGAACGCUCUUUUUCCCAGAAUGUAAUCGAAGCAAAAGGAUACUGAGUGACUACGUUUCCAACGAGAGUUGAAAAGAAAGGCAACGGCAGCAAGUGCUGAAACAGGAUCGGAUUUGGUGUGGAUUAUCGAUGAAAUCCUACUGUUUAAACCGAGA
rnacentral:lncRNA from 1 species